rnacentral:rRNA from 1 species
AGGUGCUGCACGGCUGUCGUCAGCUCGUGUCGUGAGAUGUUGGGUUAAGUCCCGCAACGAGCGCAACCCUCGUCAAUAGUUGCCAGCAGGUUAAGCUGGGCACUCUAUUGAGACUGCCUUCGCAAGGAGGAGGAAGGUGAGGACGACGUCAAGUCAUCAUGGCCCUUAUGGCUAGGGCUACACACGUGCUACAAUGGGGCGUACAGAGAGUUGCGAUACCGCGAGGUGGAGCCAAUCUCAUAAAGCGUCUCUCAGUUCGGAUUGAAGUCUGCAACUCGACUUCAUGAAGCUGGAAUCACUAGUAAUCGUAGAUCAGCAAUGCUACGGUGAAUACGUUCCCGGGUCUUGUACUCACCGCCCGUCACACCAUGGGAGUUGAUUUCACCCGAAAUUGGGAAGCUAACCUUCGGGGGGCUACCACUUACGGUGGAAUUAGCGACUGGGGUGAAGUCGUAACAAGGUA